ensembl:lncRNA
GAUUUACUGAAGUGAUGUAUCUAGAAAAAUUGACUUAUCCAUUAGAAUUGCUAUAUACUUAAGAGAGCAAAACUGAAUGGCAACACAGUUUUGCUAACUUAUGCUUAGUCUGCAGUACAAAGGAUGGUUGUGGAAUAGGAUUUCAUCUUUCUGUGUCAUUUUGGGUGGUCUUCCUGCAGGAAGCAACUGGAGAACCCUUUGAGUCAGCUUUCAUUCCAUCUGCCACUUCAGCACAUGUUGACCUUUUGUUGUUCCAUAAAUAUUUGAGUUGUAUUUUUCCUCCUGGAGACUGCUGGGAUUUAAAAUUUUGUUAACUUAAAAUUCCUGUGAAGUUUUUCUUCUAGCUUUCCUCCAGCUUCUCACUGCUGAGCUCUGAUGUUACUGUGCUACUCAAUUUUCUGCUUCUGAAAAGUGAAUGGCUCUUGUCUAAAGCUGAAUACUCUCAUAUGAUGUAAAGGAUAAUACACUACCAGAAAAUCAGAACUGAUGAAAGAAGAAAGAAAUGAAUAGGAGGAGGGCUCUAAUCCAGCUGGCAGUACCCAUGUGACAAUGAAACACCAACAAUUCUGCUAGAGGGAAUUCUGGAAAGGCUUUGCUUUCUUCACAUAAGGCUGGCACCUUCAAACUUCCCUUCCGGCCUUGAAUAUGCAUGAGAGCAGCCAUCUUGCCACUGAAAAAAAGUAAAAUCCAGCACCCUAGAGGAAGGGAAAGGGCCUGUGUCUCUGAUAAAAUUGUUAAGCAGCUGAACCAAGGUCAUCACCUGCUUACUGCCAGACUUCAUGUUAUGUAAGAAAAAUUAACCCCUGUUAAAACACCCUUCUUUGGCCGUUCCGUAACUUGUGGGCAAAAGCCUUCCUUACCGGCAUGCCUCCCCACUUCCUUUCUGUAGGUGUAGAACUGUAGCAAUUACUCCUUUGCAACAGAAGGAAGAAAAGGACUAAAACCUUAACAUCCAGACUCAGGUUAAAACCCUUACCAAAGGAACUUCAGUAAAGACAUCCUAAUCUUGCUCUUGAAGACAGCUGCAAACCUUUGAUGCCUGCCUCACUGGCCCCAUCUGCGUCUGACAUGGGGAGAAUCUAUUUGGUCUUAAUUUUAGAAGUAAAGUUGUAUGGACUGGAAGGCCUUUGCUGAUAUUCUCCCUGGUGCUCUUUCUCCACAAAUAAAGUCACAUGUACAAAGAUUUAAUAUGAAGAAAAUCAUUGUCCUCCACUGUGGGACUCUAAAGUAGAAAAGGUAAGAAGCAGUUUGGAUAAUGAGGAAAGUACAGAUCUAGGAUUGGCCUGCUGGGUUUCAAGUCCUGACUGCAAAAGGUUUUAAAAAGUUUUGUAUAAUGCUGUGGUAAUGUCUGCCGCUGUGAGGAGACUGUGACAAUGAAAAGAGGGCAAUAUGUCUGAUGAAUGAAGGAGAACAGUGCCUCUCCUGUAGCUCUCCAUUGGUCAGGGAGCAAGAGUUUGAGACUUGGGGGCUAGGUCUGGACCUAGCAGAGGAACGGACCUCCAGAAAUUUCCAGUGGUGUGGCUCGGUCAAAGCCUGGGGAAGCUGGAAGGACUCAACUCUCAGAGUCAGUGGAGUCAAAGGCCAGAGAAAAGGGCUCUAAAUCACAGCCUGCAUCCAGCCUCGUAGUGGAUAGAAAUGGGCGAGCAAAGCAAGGAGCCCUGGGUUCCUCCUUCGGCCCACAUACUCAACAGACUCCGGUACUGUAAAAUGUAGAGAAAAUACAAAAUAGGGUAAGUAGCAUCACCCAGUAUUCAAAAUGUCAUAUUUUUUAUAACAUUAAGUUUUUCAGGUUGAGUAUGCUUUCUUUAUUUCUCUAUAGAUCUAUACAUUUGUUCAUUCCCUACCUAUCACUUAAGGGAUGGAGAAGAUUUUUUAAACCCCUAUGUAAUACAAAGAAAUGAAAUAAUGGAAAUGGAUGUGGAGCAUUAUGAAAAACCAUAAAUACAAAUGGAAAAUUGAGACAAAGUACAAAAAAAGAAUCUUAUGUUUAAUUCCUUGAAAUUAGGUGAAGAGGUUCAAGAAAAAUAUGACAAAAGCAUAUCUUAUAAACUCUUAAUGUGCAGUAAGAUCAAAAGGAAAAUUGAACUGGGUUUUCAGGAUGCUAGUUUUCUCAUUCCAGAUCUAUUGUUAUCUAGAAUAGUCAUUCUCUUCAAAUCGGGAACUCUUAACCUAUCAUUGCUUAAUGAAAAGAUCCAAAGUUGAGGAUCAGCAAUUUCUAGGCCUUCCUCUGCUACUUAGCCUUGGAAAGUUUAUCAAACCUUUCAUAUCCACUUUUUCUCUUCUGUUAAAUGAAAAUAAUAUAGAUGUUAAACAAUAUAAUACAUACAAAACACUUAGCAGCAUUGUAUUACAUUUGAGAAUGUUCAGUCAUGGAAGCUGUUAAAAAUAAGAUGUUGAAGUAAUUGAUCUUUAAGGUCUCACAUAGUUCAAAAAUUCUGAUGUGUUAAGUUGACUCAUUUUUCAUGCAACUUUCAUAACUGUUACUCUUUUAUCAGUGUUUGUUAAAAGAAUGUAUCUUUGAAUCACACAACUAAUUUUGUUUCUGGCAUAACCACUGGGAAAUCCAAGUGAAGUAAUUGCAAACUGGUAUUAAAACUGACUAUAAAAGUUUAUAAAUCCUUAGAAAAGAAUGACUACAGAUGAAAAGCUUUGUGUUGGUUUCAUAUCAAACAGUGUGAGUCAAACACCUAAACCAAAAUGCUAAAAUGAAGUGAAAGUACUUAAGAUCUUUCUCUCUCUUUUCUGUUUUGCAAUACAAUAAUGAUUCUCUUCAGGAGUGAGUUAGAAAACUACUUUGAAUCACAAGAAAGAAUAACAAAAGGAUAAUUUUUAAAAUGAGUAUGAUUGAAAUUUGUAGAAGAAAAAUGGAAUAUUUUCUGUAGGAGAAACACUCUUUUGAUGCUGAUAGUAGUGCAGCAAGUACCGGUUCAGGGUAGGUGAGCUUUGCCAAGGUUGAUGCUGAUGGCUUCCUGGGAGUGCCCUCAAGGUUAUAGGAAGAAUUAGGGGUGGGAUAAAGGCAGGAAAUAUCAUUUACUAAAGACCUAAGUCAUAUAAACUGUAUCCAAAACUUGAUUGUGUUUUUUCACUUAACCUUUUCUUAUCCUGAAAGGUAGCUCAAUUCUUUCUCAUUUAGCAGGAGAAAUUCCGAGAAUUGUUAAGGACUGAUGAAAUUCCCAGGAUUUGAUUACUUCUAGAAAAGCAGAUACAGCUUCAUUAAGAAAUGAGUUUGUCUAACUAUCAGACUUACACACUUUCCUCCUCUCUGCCAGGCUGAGAGAACUUUUCUUUUGGGAAACUAGCUGUGAACUGAUUUCAGCAAGUUUGGAUGGCUAUUUAUCACCCAUGGUAGCAGCCAUCAUCAUGAUAGGGAAACAAGGCAUUUAGCUGACCAUGUGUAGGGAGGAGCAUACAUCUGCUCUUUUAUCUCUGGUACCUCCUCAGGGUGCCAAGGUGAGAAGCAGAAUGGUCAAAACAGUCUAAAGCAGGACACAGAGAUGCCUGUGGGUGGCACCUUUCUGCUUUAUUUUCAACUUCCCUUCAGGGAGGGGAGAGGUUACUGAUGAUAGCACUGUGAAGAUACCUUGUAUACAACUAAUCUUUCUAUCAUUCAGAAAGAGCUCCUUUAUGCAUAUAAAACAUGAAAUAUAUACAUAUGUAUAUCAUAUACAUAUGUAACUAUGAUUUCCAGUUGUGAAGGGGAUACUAAAACACAGGGACCUAAAGUGCUAGCAAGUGGCUGACACAAAUAUAAAGCCAGGUCUUCUAAGUAUUUUGCAUUACAAUUCCAACAUCCCUAGAAGAUGUCUGUCUGUUUUAAUAUAAUUUGCCAGUUUCAUAGGGGGAUUGCAAAGCUUACUUUUUAUUUGAAAUUAAGAUCCUUUACUCUUUCAAACGAAAGCUUCUAUAUACAAAGCAUAAUGGCAUAAUAAUGAGAUUUCCUGAAUAAAUCAACCAUCUCUGCAUACCCUCAAAUAUUAC